GGAAGUAAAAGUCGUAACAAGGUCUCCGUUGGUGAACCAGCGGAGGGAUCAUUACCGAGUGUAAAAACUCCCAAACCAUUGUGAACCUACCACUGUUGCUUCGGCGGCCUCGCCCCGGGCGCGUUCGCGCGGCCCGGACCCAGGCGUCCGCCGGAGGCUCCAAACUCUUGUCUUUUAGUGUAUUUCUGAGUGGCAUAAGCAAAUAAAUCAAAACUUUCAGCAACGGAUCUCUUGGUUCUGGCAUCGAUGAAGAACGCAGCAAAAUGCGAUAAGUAAUGUGAAUUGCAGAAUUCAGUGAAUCAUCGAAUCUUUGAACGCACAUUGCGCCCGCCAGUAUUCUGGCGGGCAUGCCUGUCUGAGCGUCAUUUCAACCCUCAGGACCCGUUCGCGGGACCUGGCGUUGGGGAUCAGCCUGCCCCUGGCGGCGGCUGGCCCUGAAAUCCAGUGGCGGUUCCCUCGCGAACUCCUCCGUGCAGUAAUUAAACCUCUCGCGGCAGGAUAGCGGUUGAACCACGCCGUUAAACCCCCCACUUCUCAAGGUUGACCUCAGAUCAGGUAGGAAUACCCGCUGAACUUAAGCAUAUC
rnacentral:rRNA from 1 species